UACAGAGGGGGCAAGCGUUGUUCGGAAUUACUGGGCGUAAAGGGCGCGUAGGCGGCCUCUUAAGUCGAACGUGAAAUCCCCGGGCUCAACCCGGGAACUGCGUCCGAUACUGGGAGGCUUGAAUCCGGGAGAGGGAUGUGGAAUUCCAGGUGUAGCGGUGAAAUUCGUAGAUAUUCGGAGGAACACCAGUGGCGAAGGCGGCUCACUGGUCCAUUACUGACGCUGAGGUGCGAAAGCGUGGGGAGCAAACAGG
rnacentral:rRNA from 1 species